UACGGAGGGGGCAAGCGUUAUUCGGAAUUAUUGGGCGUAAAGGGCGCGUAGGCGGCUAGAUGUGUCAAAGGUGAAAUCCCUCGGCUCAACUGAGGAACUGCGUUUGAAACUGUCUGGCUUGAGGCCGGGAGAGGGUAGCGGAAUUCCCAGUGUAGCGGUGAAAUGCGUAGAUAUUGGGAGGAACACCAGUGGCGAAGGCGGUUAGCUGGGCAGUUGCUGACACUGAUGCGCGACAGCGUGGGGAGCAAACAGG
rnacentral:rRNA from 1 species